GAUCACUAGCUCCAUAAAGAGUCGGUGAAUAUAGUGGGAGGGUCUUUUUUGAGGCAUCGACCCUUUAAGAAAUGAAAGAAAAAUAAGAAGAAAAAUAAGAAGGUGCAGCAGCGUGCUGGGGCAUCUAUGCUCUGUCAGACCAAAAAAUCUAAGUCUGACUAGAGUCAGACAAAAUGCUUCUAAUGUAAAAAGUAAUAGUAGUAGAAGAGGAACUGUCCUCAGUACAUUAUCUCCCUAGAUCCCAAC
rnacentral:lncRNA from 1 species